AUGGCGAGCGACGAGGGUUCCUGGAGGCUGGCGGGUGAGAACAGGGUGGUCAGCGUGAAGCGUGCUGGCAGGAAUAAGGCGACGUCCGUGGUCUUCGGCUCCGGCUCGGAGAGGGCUAUCGUGGGGAAAGCCCCGGCGGUCGACCAGAUGACCAAGAAGAAGAAGACAAGGAGCAAGGGGCUGCCGCAAGCGACACCGACUACAGGCAAGCGUCUCCUACCGUACGAGGAGAUCAUGACGAUCAUGUCCAUGAAUGACGAGCCACGCGAGAGCGACACCGCAGAGCACAAGAAGGUUGUGGCCAAGUGGCUUGAGUUUCAGGAGGAGGUGAAGCGAGAGUACAUGGCCAAGGGCUACGUGGAGAUGGAUGAGAAGGACUUCGUCGAGAGAGAGAAGAGGAAGCUGCUGCUCAAGGAGGCGUGGGACAAGAUCGACUUCGGCGGGCUCGUCUUCCUCGACUCAGACGACGACAGCUAUGUCGUGAAAGAUCAGGGUGGCCCUCGUUGGGCAGACGGGAUCAUCCAGGAGUAA
rnacentral:rRNA from 1 species